UGGGGAAUAUUGGACAAUGGGCGAAAGCCUGAUCCAGCCAUGCCGCGUGUGUGAAGAAGGUCUUCGGAUUGUAAAGCACUUUAAGUUGGGAGGAAGGGCAGUAAGCGAAUACCCUGCUGUUUUGACGUUACCGACAGAAUAAGCACCGGCUAACUCUGUGCCAGCAGCCGCGGUAAUACAGAGUGUGCAAGCGUUAAUCGGAAUUACUGGGCGUAAAGCGCGCGUAGGUGGUUCGUUAAGUUGAAUGUGAAAGCCCCGGGCUCAACCUGGGAACUGCAUCCAAAACUGGCGAGCUAGAGUAGGGCAGAGGGUGGUGGAAUUUCCUGUGUAGCGGUGAAAUGCGUAGAUAUAGGAAGGAACACCAGUGGCGAAGGCGACCACCUGGGCUCAUACUGACACUGAGAUGCGAAAGCGUGGGGAGCAAACAGG
rnacentral:rRNA from 1 species